GCAAGUGUGGCACAGUGGUUUGAGUGUUGGAUUACAACUCUGGGGACCAGGGUUCAAAUCCUGGCUCAGCCA